UCAUGUCUAAACAAGAGGCAAAAGCUUCCACCAUGGACUUCAGGGACAAGAAAGAAAAAAUAUAUAUUUUAUUCAAAGUCAUUAGACAGGACAAUAGUGAGGUUCACUGCAAGGUAAAAAUGACAACACAUCCCAAGAAACUCAAAGAAUCAUACUAUCAAAAAACGCACAGAGUUCCAAUGAAAUUAUUCAAGUUCCUCUUUGAAGGUCAGAAAAUUGCUGAUAUUCACACUCCACAAGAACUUAGAAUGAAGCAGUAAGAUGGGAUUGAAGUUUACCAGGAAUAAAUAGGGGGAACUUAUUCAAC
rnacentral:lncRNA from 1 species